rnacentral:rRNA from 1 species
AAUAGAUACCCCGGUAGUCCACGCCGUAAACGAUGAGUGCUAGGUGUUGGGGGGACCCCCCUCAGUGCCGUAGGUAACCCAAUAAGCACUCCGCCUGGGGAGUACGGUCGCAAGACUGAAACUCAAAGGAAUUGACGGGGGCCCGCACAAGCGGUGGAGCAUGUGGUUUAAUUCGAAGCAACGCGAAGAACCUUACCAGGGCUUGACAUCCCGCUGAUCGGUGUAGAGAUAUGCCUUUCCCCGUUCGGGGGACAGCGGUGACAGGUGGUGCAUGGUUGUCGUCAGCUCGUGUCGUGAGAUGUUGGGUUCAGUCCCGCAACGAGCGCAACCCUUGUUUCUAGUUGCCAGCACUUCGGGUGGGCACUCUAGAGAGACAGCCGGUGAAAGCCGGAGGAAGGUGGGGAUGACGUCAAAUCAUCAUGCCCCUUAUGUCCUGGGCUACACACGUACUACAAUGGCUGGUACAAAGGGCAGCGAACCCGCGAGGGGGAGCCAAUCCCAAAAAACCAGUCUCAGUUCGGAUUGCAGGCUGCAACUCG